rnacentral:rRNA from 1 species
UAGGGAAUUUUCGUCAAUGGGCGCAAGCCUGAACGAGCAAUGCCGCGUGAACGAGGAAGGUCUUCGGAUCGUAAAGUUCUGUUGAUGGGGAAAAAGAGCGGAGAGAGGAAAUGGUCUCCGAUUGAUAUUACCCUUCGAGGAAGUCACGGCUAACUACGUGCC